CGUACACUCCUACGGGAGGCAGCAGUGGGGAAUAUUGGACAAUGGGCGCAAGCCUGAUCCAGCCAUGCCGCGUGAGUGAUGAAGGCCCUAGGGUUGUAAAGCUCUUUCACCGGUGAAGAUAAUGACGGUAACCGGAGAAGAAGCCCCGGCUAACUUCGUGCCAGCAGCCGCGGUAAUACGAAGGGGGCUAGCGUUGUUCGGAUUUACUGGGCGUAAAGCGCACGUAGGCGGACUAUUAAGUCAGGGGUGAAAUCCCGGGGCUCAACCCCGGAACUGCCUUUGAUACUGGUAGUCUUGAGUUCGAGAGAGGUGAGUGGAAUUCCGAGUGUAGAGGUGAAAUUCGUAGAUAUUCGGAGGAACACCAGUGGCGAAGGCGGCUCACUGGCUCGAUACUGACGCUGAGGUGCGAAAGCGUGGGGAGCAAACAGGAUUAGAUACCCUUGUAGUCCCAUGAU
rnacentral:rRNA from 1 species